rnacentral:rRNA from 1 species
UAUGCCCUUUGUACGGAAUAGCCUCUGGAAACGGAGAGUAAUACCGUAUGAGCCCUUCGGGGAAAGAUUUAUCGCCAAAGGAUUAGCCCGCGUUAGAUUAGGUAGUUGGUGGGGUAAUGGCCUACCAAGCCUACGAUCUAUAGCUGGUUUUAGAGGAUGAUCAGCAACACUGGGACUGAGACACGGCCCAGACUCCUACGGGAGGCAGCAGUGGGGAAUCUUGGACAAUGGGGGCAACCCUGAUCCAGCCAUGCCGCGUGAGUGAUGAAGGCCUUAGGGUCGUAAAGCUCUUUCGCCUGUGAAGAUAAUGACGGUAGCAGGUAAAGAAACCCCGGCUAACUCCGUGCCAGCAGCCGCGGUAAUACGGAGGGGGUUAGCGUUGUUCGGAAUUACUGGGCGUAAAGCGCACGUAGGCGGAUCGGAAAGUUGGGGGUGAAAUCCCGGGGCUCAACCCCGAACUGCCUCCAAAACUAUCGGUC